rnacentral:rRNA from 1 species
GACGAACGCUGGCGGCGUGCCUAAUACAUGCAAGUAGAACGCUGAAGGAGGAGCUUGCUCUUCUGGAUGAGUUGCGAACGGGUGAGUAACGCGUAGGUAACCUGCCUGGUAGCGGGGGAUAACUAUUGGAAACGAUAGCUAAUACCGCAUAAGAGUAGAUGUUGCAUGACAUUUACUUAAAAGGUGCAAUUGCAUCACUACCAGAUGGACCUGCGUUGUAUUAGCUAGUUGGUGGGGUAACGGCUUACCAAGGCGACGAUACAUAGCCGACCUGAGAGGGUGAUCGGCCACACUGGGACUGAGACACGGCCAGACUCCUACGGGAGGCAGCAGUAGGGAAUCUUCGGCAAUGGACGGAAGUCUGACCGAGCAACGCCGCGUGAGUGAAGAAGGUUUUCGGAUCGUAAAGCUCUGUUGUAAGAGAAGAACGAGUGUGAGAGUGGAAAGUUCACACUGUGACGGUAUCUUACCAGAAAGGGACGGCUAACUACGUG